rnacentral:rRNA from 1 species
AUUGAACGCUGGCGGCAGGCCUAACACAUGCAAGUCGAACGAGUGGCGGACGGGUGAGUAAUGUCUGGGAAUCUGCCCGAUGGAGGGGGAUAACUACUGGAAACGGUAGCUAAUACCGCAUACCAUCGGAUGUUCCCAGAUGGGAUUAGCUAGUAGGUGGGGUAAUGGCUCACCUAGGCGACGAUCCCUAGCUGGUCUGAGAGGAUGACCAGCCACACUGGGACUGAGACACGGUCCAGACUCCGACGGGAGGCAGCAGUGGGGAAUAUUGCACAAUGGGCGCAAGCCUGAUGCAGCCAUGCCGCGUGUAUGAAGAAGGCCUUCGGGUUGUAAAGUACUUUCAGCGGGGAGGCGUUACCCGCAGAAGAAGCACCGGCUAACUCCGUGCCAGCAGCCGCGGUAAUUC